rnacentral:tRNA from 2 species
AGGCCCGUGGUGUAGCGGACAAGCAUGUCGGGCUCUGGCCCCGACGACCCCGGUUCGAAUCCGGGCGGGCCUACCA